UUCCGUUCACGAACCAACCCAUUUUAAGCACCAUUUAUUGUCACACCAACCAUUCUAAAACUGUUAAAACGAUAUAGAAAAAAACGAAAGGGGCUGGGGUUCAUAGUCAAUGGUAAGAUAAUUAUAGGCUAGGCCUACUAAGCAGUAAACUAUUGACCAGUUAACAUUGGCUUUAGCCUAAGCUUAAUAGUUAGCCAAUAGGGUAAAAUAACCAAUGUCAGCCCAUGUGAUGAUCAUUGAUGGAUCAACAUUGAUGGGACGACCGUGAAAUGUGAGUUACAGAUCUGUCAUUUUCAUUGAAAGCAAGUCUAAGACGCGACAGAUCUGUUCCAUGUGCGCUACUUCUAUGCUUCCUGUUCUUACGUUUAGUUUUCGUGUAUUUUAUUUUCGGUUUUGCACACCCGCUUUAAACAACUGAAAAAACAAUAUUUGUGGUUAUUGAAAACAUAUUUCAUAGCAGUUUAGACGAUACAAUUGCUUGUUUUGUCACAAACUGAAAUUAGGCUAUAAGGAUUUUAGCAACCAGGAAAUGGCAGAGCGAUUUCUGCAUAUUGUAACAUAUGUCAUUGAGACAGACCGCAUUGGAUCAACUUGAAGAGUGAUAACACCAAGAGAUGGCUGCAAUGCGAUGCACUGUUUCUAAACCGGGUCGUAAAACCGUAGAAGAAAAAGCCAGCUGACAAUCCCGGAAAGGAACAAACAUUGGUUUGUUUGGCUUGGCAACCCAUUACCCUGAGCUGGACCUAACAAUACAUAAUGCCUGAAGUCAAAUCGAUAUUCAGAGAAGUGUUGCCCAAACAAGUUGUCCAUGGAGGAUGUCCCCACCAUGGUGCUGUGUAAGCCCAAGCUGAUGCCUCUGAAAUCAGUCACCCUGGAGAAACUGGAGAAGAUGCAACUGGAGGCCCAGGAGGCCAUCAAGCAACAGGAUCUGGCACUGAAAGAGCAGCAGGAGACACA